UUGGAGUUUGUUGCCCUGAGUGAUGGGCUCCGAAGCUAACGCGAUAAAUCGACCGCCUGGGGAGUACGGCCGCAAGGUUAAAACUCAAAUGAAUUGACGGGGGCCCGCACAAGCGGUGGAGCAUGUGGUUUAAUUCGAUGCAACGCGAAGAACCUUACCUGGUCUUGACAUCCACAGAAUCUUGCAGAGAUGCGAGAGUGCCUUCGGGAACUGUGAGACAGGUGCUGCAUGGCUGUCGUCAGCUCGUGUUGUGAAAUGUUGGGUUAAGUCCCGCAACGAGCGCAACCCUUAUCCUUUGUUGCCAGCGAUUUGGUCGGGAACUCAAAGGAGACUGCCGUUGAUAAAGCGGAGGAAGGUGGGGACGACGUCAAGUCAUCAUGGCCCUUACGACCAGGGCUACACACGUGCUACAAUGGCGUAUACAAAGGGAGGCGACCUCGCGAGAGCAAGCGGACCUCAUAAAGUACGUCUAAGUCCGGAUUGGAGUCUGCAACUCGACUCCAUGAAGUCGGAAUCGCUAGUAAUCGUGAAUCAGAAUGUCACGGUGAAUACGUUCCCGGGCCU
rnacentral:rRNA from 1 species